AUCAUUUGUGGCUCAUAAAUGUGAUGAUUGGCCAUUCACACCAUUGUGUGAGAUAUUCCUCUAUCAAAAAUGUUAUGCCAUCUAUACAUUAUUCGUUUGAUA
ensembl:snoRNA LOC120102098 small nucleolar RNA U13